CUCAUCUUCUUAGAGAGGCUCUUUGUUUUAAAGUUCUUCCCUCCCUGCCAAAACUUAUUUAGCCCUUUAUUUUUUUAAAUUUUUUAUUUGUCUAAUAUACAUAAAUUUCUGAUCUUGCAGGUGAAAUAUUACAAAUUUCCUCCAACACUUUUAUUAGAUUUUCAUCAAAACACAUUUUGUCUUGCCUAUGCCUUAUUCACAUAUCUUGCUCCAAGAAGAUUGUCACCCUGCUUCAUUGCUAUUCUAUAAAUGGUUAUAUGUAGGUUAGACAAAAUAAGUUAGAGCGAGACUAAUUGGCAGUGGAGUGAGAGGAGUCUUAACAUGGGAAAGAACAAGUAUAGAAGACAUGUUAAAGAUUUGUCAAUUGACAGAGCAACUUUAAUUUAACUAGUGAACUCUACCACAAAUCCUUGGAAGAUGCUGCUAAGAUAUAA